AUGGGAUUCCUCCACAAGACCUCCAAGCAGACAGCGAAGCUCAAGUCCCUCCUCGGGCUCGCCGUCUCCCGCAUCGCCGUCGCCCGCCGGCCGCGCCUUGCUCGCAAGUCCAUCGCCUGCAGCGAUGUCAGCCAGCUCCUCGUCCUCGGCCACCUCAACCGCGCCCUCCACCGCGCAGAGCAGGUUAUCCAGGAGGACAACAUGCUGGAGGCGUUCGGCAUCAUAGAGCUCUACUGCAAGCGCCUUAUCGAGCAGGCUGAGCAGUUAGACAAGCCACAGGAGUGCGGCGAGGAGCUACGGGAAGCGGCGGCCAGCAUCAUGUUCGCCGCCGGGUGGUGCGGCGACCUGCAGGAGCUGCUGUUUGCCCGUACCAUCCUCGCAGACAAGUUCGGCGGCGACUUUGCUGUCGCGGCCAAGGAGGGCACUGGCAUCGUCGACCCCAUCUUGGUAUGGAAGCUGUCCGGAAGCACAGCAGGCAUGGAGCUGAAGAAGAAAGUGACCAAAGAGAUCGCCGCGGAGAACAACAUCUUGGUGGACUUCUCCGAGCUCCCGGAAGCAACGGAGGACGGCAACGAUAUGUUGGUGGACUUCUUUGAGCUCCAAGAAGCAACCGAGGAAGGCAACAACAACGUUCCAGACAGUCAGGAGCUCCUCGGCGAAAUGCCAUGCCAGGACGACAUGGAUGAAAGUUCAGAGUCGGACAAUGACCAUCCUCACUCACAUGGAACAAAUACACCCGGGCUGGAGAGCGACGAGAAUGUGCACAUUGUUACCAACUCUGAUGGAUCAGAUGAUGAGGUUAAAGGUCGGCGCAACCGAAGGUGGUGGCGCCUUGGGUGUGCAUGA
rnacentral:rRNA from 1 species